GGCUAACUCCGUGCCAGCAGCCGCGGUAAUACGGAGGAUCCGAGCGUUAUCCGGAUUUAUUGGGUUUAAAGGGUGCGUAGGCGGCCUGUUAAGUCAGGGGUGAAAGACGGUAGCUCAACUACCGCAGUGCCCUUGAUACUGAUGGGCUUGAAUGUACUAGAGGUAGGCGGAAUGUGACAAGUAGCGGUGAAAUGCAUAGAUAUGUCACAGAACACCAAUUGCGAAGGCAGCUUACUAUGGUAUGAUUGACGCUGAGGCACGAAAGCGUGGGGAUCAAACAGGAUUAGAUACCCUGGUAGUCCACGCCCUAAACGAUGAAUACUCGAUGUUGGCGAUAUACGGUCAGCGUCUAAGCGAAAGCGUUAAGUAUUCCACCUGGGGAGUACGCCCGCAAGGGUGAAACUCAAAGGAAUUGACGGGGGCCCGCACAAGCGGAGGAGCAUGUGGUUUAAUUCGAUGAUACGCGAGGAACCUUACCCGGGCUUGAAAGUUAGUGAAUGUGGCAGAGACGCCACAGUCCUUCGGGACACGAAACUAGGUGCUGCA
rnacentral:rRNA from 1 species